rnacentral:rRNA from 1 species
UACGUAGGGGGCAAGCGUUGUCCGGAUUUAUUGGGCGUAAAGAGCGUGUAGGCGGUUUGGUAGGUCCGUUGUGAAAACUCGAGGCUCAACCUCGAGACGCCGGCGGAAACCAUCAGGCUAGAGUCCGGAAGAGGUGAGUGGAAUUCCUGGUGUAGCGGUGAAAUGCGCAGAUAUCAGGAAGAACACCCGUGGCUAAGGCGGCUCUCUAGUACGGUACUGACGCUGAGACGCGAAAGCGUGGGGAGCGAACAGG